GACGAACGCUGGCGGCGUGCUUAACACAUGCAAGUCGAACGGAAAGGCCCUGCUUUUGUGGGGUGCUCGAGUGGCGAACGGGUGAGUAACACGUGAGUAACCUGCCCUUGACUUUGGGAUAACUUCAGGAAACUGGGGCUAAUACCGGAUAGGAGCUCCUGCUGCAUGGUGGGGGUUGGAAAGUUUCGGCGGUUGGGGAUGGACUCGCGGCUUAUCAGCUUGUUGGUGAGGUAGUGGCUUACCAAGGCUUUGACGGGUAGCCGGCCUGAGAGGGUGACCGGCCACAUUGGGACUGAGAGACGGCCCAGACUCCUACGGGAGGCAGCAGUGGGGAAUAUUGCACAAUGGGCGGAAGCCUGAUGCAGCAACGCCGCGUGCGGGAUGACGGCCUUCGGGUUGUAAACCGCUUUCGCCUGUGACGAAGCGUGAGUGACGGUAAUGGGUAAAGAAGCACCGGCUAACUACGUG
rnacentral:rRNA from 1 species